rnacentral:lncRNA from 1 species
GGACCGCUCUGCCUGGGAGGGGGCGGCAGGCGGGGCGCGCGGCGCUGCUGCCCUGAGCAGGUGCUCCCGGGGGGCUCCAGGCCUCAGACCCGGGGGCCGCGGCCCUGCCCUGGGGCCUCCCGUGGGGGUCGGUCGUGCCCUGCGCUCCUAAUGGGUAACUUGGUCGCACGAGCCGUGCAGCCACUUUGUGCGGCGCUUGGCAGGGCGCCCUGUGAACUGUGGGCUUCCCCCCCUUAUUACUAAAAUUUACUUCCAGUUUAGUUAACAUGCUUUGUUAUAUCGAUUUCAGGCCUGUAAAACAGUGACUCAACUGUUCCACGUACCGCGGUGCUCCCCACGAUGCUGCCCUCUUAACCCCCUGCACCUGUUUCACCCCCCCCCACCCCCACCCACCUCUCUCCUGGUGACCACAAUUUGCUCUCUAGAGUUCCGUCUAUUUUUUGGUUUAUCUCUUUUUCUCCUCCUUUGUUCAUUUGUUUGGUCUCAGAUUCCAGGAGCGCAGUCACAUGGGAUUUGUCUUUUUCUGCCUUCACUCGGCGUCAUACCCUCCGGAUCCACCCCGGUUGUGACAAGUGGCAAGUGGCAAGGUCUCAUUCUUUUUGUCGGCUGAGUAUUUUUCCAGGGUCUAUAUCCACACAUCCGUCCAUGGGCACGCAGCACUCCCUGCAGGUGACACGGCAGCACAGAGCCGGUUCUCCUCAAGGAACAGUGUGUUUGCCGGAAAAGAAGUCCUCAUUUCCAAAGAUGUUUACCAGCACCAGGACACCUAGCGCAGUGCCUUGCAUGUGGUAUACACCAUACUCGUGUAGCUGUGUGGACGGGAACCAACCUAGUACAAGAGGCUUGUUUGUGCACAGGAGAGUGAGCAGGUGAUGGUAGAUAAGACCGAAAGGUUACACUCACCGGCAAACAUUUUUACACUUUAUUUAAUCCACUAUUUGCAACUAGUUGACCCAGUGAUGUUGGUUUAAAGCAGUGCUGUUCAGCCUUGGUCAGACACUGUGAUCACCUGAAGAGCUCUAAAAAUGCUGAUGCCCAGGUCCCACUCCAGGGAUUUGGAUUUGAUUGAUCUGUUGUAAUUUGGGUUCUGGGAAUUUCAAAAGCCACUGCCCACCCCCCUGCUGACUUAAUAAGGAGCCCGUGCCGUGAUCCUGGAGACCCAGGAUCGAAUCCCACAUCGGGCUCUCGGUACAUGGAGCCUGCUUCUCCCUCUGCCUGUGUCUCUGCCUCUCUCUCUCUCUGUGUGGCUAUCAUAAAUAAAUAAAAAUUAAAAAAAAAAAAUAAGGAGCCCGUGGUGAGGACCACAGAUUCAAGGCCAGGGAUGCAUCUGCUGUAAGUGAUGUGUGUGCGCUCUGGGGUUUUAGAAAACAGCUCUGCCCUGUUAAAAUCAAAGGACUACUUCAGAUAACUCAGCUAUUUGUCUAAACUACAAUAGGAGGAAAUGUCUUCUUAGCAGAUCUAUCUUUAUGUCAGUUGCUUUUAGAAUAGGAGGUUGCUCCGGGCACAGCAGUUUGAUUUAGUCUGUGUUGAAAAUCAUUAAUGGCCUACAGAUACCAAAAAGGGAUGAAAAGAAUUUGCAAACAUGUGGAGUGUAUUAUACAUGUUUUCAAAUUUCUCCUAUGAUUAGAAAGGAAAACUGUAUUGCUGAAGACUUGAUUUCCUAAACUCAGGCCUCAGCCAUUUCCCUAAAUUAUCCCAAGUCUUUCCAAGACACUCAGCAUUCUCUGAAGGGGAUUAUUCCCCAUGUGAAGAGUAUGAGAUGGACGCCGAUUUCAAGGGAAUUCUGCUUCUAUUGCAGAAGUCUCACUUUCUAGAACCUCCGAUGACUAGGGAAGCUGCAGGAGCAGUAUGAACUAGUGGAGUCAGGGGAGCUCUGCAGUCAGGUGGAGUCAGGAGGGUCCCAGCCCAGCCACUUAGUAGCUCUGGGGCUUUGGACAGACUUCUUGACUUGGACGACAGUUGUAUAAACCUCUUGCAAGAAGAGGCAUAAGGGUACUGAUUACAAAAACAGCAGCAAUUCAUUCUUCCUGGCAGCGCACGCCCUCUGCAAUGAGAUUUUACAGCUGCUCCCUUUCAGAGGCAGACUCUCUUCAUCCAAACUUUGCAUCAGAUCUGGUCUUACUUGCUCUGGCCAAGAGAAUGCAGUGGGACCCUUGACAGUAGGCCAGUCUUAGAUGCUUCUGUUUUUCCUUUCAGAAUACAGCUGUCUCCAAGUCCAUGUUAGCCUUGGAGAGGCUCCAGGUCCAGCCUUAGCUGGAGGAUGAGAUGCCAUGAGGAAGAGAACCACGGUGCCCCCUUGACAGUCAACUCACCCCUCAGCAGCAGAGCCCCCUGGUCAACCAGCAGCUGACCACACAUGCAUGGAGGAGCCGAGCAGACACCAGACGGGUCCUGCUGAGCCCAGCCUAAGCUGCUGACCAGCUCAGUCAUGAGCUAGGUAAGUACUGGGGCGGGUUGUUACUCAAUAGCUAACUAAUACAUCAGUUGCAGAUAAGAUGUCAAGAUGCAAUGAUGUAUUAGUUAUAAGUUACUUGGCAAACAGUAGGCAUCCUAUAGGUGCUGAUUUCCUUCUUCCUUUAUAGAAAGUUGCAUCUCUUGAGUUAAACAGAAAUAAAUAUGUAGAUGCAGAUGUAUGUGAUUGGUGCUUAAACUCACACAAAACCGCACACUGCAAGAGGGAAUAGGUGACCAGAGCCUGACCACUAGGGCUCAAGGCCAGAUUGCAAAGUAAGAAGUUUCCUUUUAUUCCCUCCAAAUCUAAACUCUGGAGACCAAGGCUGAAGAUAGAUCUGAAGACACAGAGUUCCCCACCUUCCUCUCCACACUGUCUGACCUCUGGGAAGGGGGAAUGGACCCCCCAAGAAGCAAUUGGGAAGCUCUGGUCUACUUUGGGAAACUUCUUCUCAGGGCACCAUCUCUUCUCACCUUGGGCCAAGGAGAGAGGUUGGCAGGGAAGGGGUGACACCUCUGGAAGAGAAGGGGAUGUUCAGGCAAGUCACCUCCCUGAGGUCGAGAAGAGUCACCCUUCCAGGGGGGCAGCCUCUCAACAUGAGCACUCAGCACCUAGACUGUGGCUCCUCUAAGUUAUGAGGUGCUGAAAAGUGCAAAAUAGAGUGAAUUUCAAAGAUUCAAUACAAAAAAAAAGGGAAAAUAUUUCAUCAAAACUUUUCUGUUGAUUACACCUUAAGAUAAUAUUUUACAUAUAUUAGGCUAAAUAAGUUAAUAGUAUUACAGUCAGUUUCACCUGUUUCUUUUUAUUUGCUGUAACGUUGCUGAAAAUGUAAAACUACAGACGUGGCUCACCUCCUGUUUCUACUGGACAUUCCUGUCUGAGAGGACUGCCUCCUUUUCAAAGCUCGGGGUGCUUCCUUGGAAGAGCAGAAGCCAGGAAGGUUAGAAAAUCUGAAGUUUUAAAAGAAUCUGGCAUUUUACUGUCCCCAUUUGUGAAUAAGGGAAAUUAAUAAGGCUUUGAUUUUAAGGUUUAUAUUCAUAAAAAGCAUUCAUUUCAACAUCGUGCUUGGUAAUUAUUUUGCACGGGGAUUGCAGAAGCAGGGCAAAGACACUCUCCUCGGCUCCAGGCCUUUACUAUUUAGCUUCUCGCAAAUUGGCUCUAGGUCCAGAUAUUUCCAUGUUCCACAGACUCCCUUCCUCCAGGGUGAUUAAGGAAUAAGGCUGAAGUGCAGGUUGACACUCUCACAAGCCAGAGGACUUUUCUUUCUGUGGUUUACUAGCAUU